GGCCACUGAGACCAUAGGAGACCCAAGAAACAAAGGUUUGGAAGAUUCAAGGCAGGUCUGAGCUGGACCAGAGUGGGCAAAAGAUGUCUUCAGGUACGUGAAUAUACACUGCUUCAUUCCCAAGAUUUGCAUGAUCAGAUGUAGAUUCCUCAGCUGAAAGUGAUGUGCAGAAUCUGCUAUAGUCAACACCAACAGGUAUUUUGUGAUAUCUCUGAAUGUAGACAGUUUUGCUCCCUGCUGAGAAAGACACCUAAAUUGAGAAACUCCUAUGUAAGGUGAGUGGAGGGUAAGUGACCUGUGGAAGAGACAUUUAUUACCCAAGGUGACUUUCAAGUCCAACUGCCAGAUGUGUGAAGUCCUCUUCUACCACAUUAGCCCUGCCAGUCCUUCAUCUAAGUGCAGACACCUGAGUGAGCCGAGGUGAAACCAAAGCACACUUUCUUGAAUUUAUUAAAACCUUUGAACAUAGCUGUAAUGUUUUACUUAAUAAUGUAUGGAAUUAACCAGAAUUAAGUCUGCCAUAAUCCUUUUAGCCUGAGAAGUGUAGAUAAGGUUCCACAUUUGCUCUUUUAAUUGUUGUAUGGCCUUUAAAAAUUAAUUUAUUGGAAAUGUUUCAGUCAGACUCUCAUGAAACAAGGGCUCUUCAUUUCAUACUCUGUCUCAUGAGCUGGACUAAAUAGAAAUGUGAAUGAGACCAGAAAAGGGUUUAAAGGAGCUGAUAACCAAAAAGAAAUUUAUAGGUUUGACAAAGUGUGAUUUAUUCUAGAAAAAUGCAUUGAAAAUUUUGCCCUAUUUUGUUCACAAUAAAUAUCUUCUAUAAUCAUUCCAACUGAUAUUUUAAUAUCAAGAAUAGGACAUUGUGCUAGAUAUGGUCACAAAUUAUUUGCAACUCCUCCCAUCAAGUUACAAGAGUCCAUUUUUGGACCUCUUAAAUCUGGGCUGGCAAAGACUUGCUUUGACUAAUGGAAUGUGGUAGAAGUGAUGUGUAAGUUCCCUAGAUCAAGCUUCAAGAAAACUUUAAGAUUUUGCCCUUGCUCUCUUGGAAUGCUGCCCUGAGACUGCCAUGUGCCAUUGGUGGAGCCUUCUGCAGGAUGAGUGGCCAUGUGGAAGAGAACUGAGCUGUCACAGGUGACAUUCAGGUACAACUACCAGAUAUGUGGGUAAGGUCAUCUUAGACCUUCCAGCUCUUUCAACCCUUCAGCUAAAUGAAGCCACAUGAGUGAACUCAGGUAAAACAAACAGAAGAAACUCACAGCUAACUUACAGAAUUAUGAGAACUGUUUUAAGCCAUGAAGUUGUAGGGUGACAUUUGUACUUGACAAUAACUAACUGAAAUGGACAUUUUAAUAGCUCUGAGCAGCUUUUGAGUUUCAGAGGUUAAUACCUUAAAGGCUGCUUGAAUUACUAUACCCCACCAUUUCAUGUUCUAGGAGUGGAGAUACAAAUGGGCUCAGAAACAGCUGUAGGAUGAAUGAAUUUUCAGUAUCCAGAAAUGCUGAGUCAAGGUCCUGAGAAAAUGGAUAAAGACAUAGAUGCAAACUUCAAACUUAUUUCUAUGGAUCAAAAUUAUACCCAGGUGACAACAACAAAAAAUAGUUUGUGUUUGGGAUAUCCUUCUUUUAACAUAUAUAGAAAUACAUGGAGGUUGAAAUUUGAGUAAGUAUGUGUGAGAUUGACUUGGUUAUAACUUACAUUUUUAUAGAAUACAGGAAUGUGGAAUAAAGGAAACAGCUGCUUUGCUGAUACAACAUCACAUGGUUUCUGUCUUUAUUGGGAAGGGGAGUGUAAGGCAUACAGAACAAUGAGAAUGCAAUUUAUGAUAAAUAAUUUGCUACUGAUUUUAUUUGCAGCAGAUAGAGAAGAGACCAAAAUACAUUAAAAUAUUCAAGCAGAUCCUACAGGCAAAUAUAAAAAUUGCCUUGAUCUUUCAGGGAUUUUCAGAGGAAUGCACUGCCAAACUGUGUGUGUGUUCUACGUAGGUUUGGAGGAAAUGUUUUGGCCAUUUAAACCUUCAGCCAUCUAUACCUGAGUGGCCUUAGGCAUGUUACUUCUCAGUGUCUUUGAACACAUCUAUAAAAUCAGAAUAAGAGUUUCUCACUCAAAUUCACGUUGGAGACACCAAACUAGACCACAUCUUUUAGUACUUGUUUUUAUGGUGUUUUAAGGUUUUCAGGGUAAAAUAAUGGUAAAAGCACUUUAAGAAUGAAAUGGGAAGAGAACUGUGGAUUUCCCCAGGGAAAGAUCCUAAUUGGGCAGAUAUAAGACAAAUACAGAGAAUAAGUGGAAGUAACUACAAGCACUGAUUAUUACAGUGACUCUCUCCUUCAAAUAAAAUCAUCACUGAAUGACACUGCAUUAACUAAAGUCAACAGGGACAGAUUAAUUCUCACUGGGGUAAUAGAGCAAAAAAAAUAAUUCAAAUUUUGUUUGUCCUUAGGUGGGAAAAUCAGAGGCCUCAAGCCUGAAAACUGCUAGCAUAGGGAAAAACGUGCACACAGACAUACCCACAGACACAGAUACAUGGGAGAAUUAUCAAUGAGCCAGCCAAUGCAGUAUAUUUUAAUGGAAAUUCUAAAGGUCACAGUCCUCAAGGGAUGGUAGGCAGGUCAUGGAUGUGAAAAGACGUCUUAGAUAAACUUGGUAGUGAAAAUUCAGGAAGAGAUAUCACAGUACAGAGAUUCCUUCAUAAGAAAAGUAUAUUGAAAAGCUAGUACUCACAUUUACAGCAUAUUAGGUACUAUAGCUGUAUUUGUUCCAACAUGCUUUUCUGCAGUUAAAAUUUGAUUUUUUUAAUGUUAUCUCCAUGGGGACAUAUCUUGUUUUCUUCUUAAUAUGAAAAUGGAAGCUCUUUUAGUUUGUCCAUCUGCUUUUCCUUUUUCCUUCCUGAUUAUCUUUACUGCAAUGCUUGGAUUCCAUAUUGAUGUAUCUAUGAAUAUUGCUUGUUAUAUUAAACUGGAUUAACAUACAGUUCUAUUUGAUAUAUUUAACCUACACACAUUUCUCGGGUGGAAAAUGCCUUUUGAAGUGGGUCUAACAAGGGGAGUGUUGAGUUUUAUAUGUCAUGUGAAAAUUUUUUUGUUAAUGCUGAUCAAAAUGUUUUUCUUUACUGAGGCAUUGAGAGUAAAAAAAACAUAUUUCAUGUUUCUGGCUGGUGAAAUUAUGAUUUUAUUUUCAGCCCCUGUAAUAUAUUGUUGAGAUAGUAGCUAUGUGACCUUAAAUAGAUUAAUCUCUCUAUGCCAAUGUGUGUCAACUUCAAAUGGUACUUAUGAAGAUUAAAGAGAUAUUAUAUGUGAAUUUGUUUGAUGGGUGUCUGGAAUAUAACAAGCACAUAGGAAAUUUUGGAAAUCAUUUAUUAUUUUAGCAAUGAAAAAGACAAAAUUAUCUCAGAAUACCUGCAAACAUUUUUUGCAGUUAACUGAUUGCAUUGGAAUACAAUUUAAGGAGCCAUAGCAUACUGAAUCUCAAACUCCAUGGCUUACUAGGUUUUCCCCAACUCUGAUUUGAAAUUGGAUGUCUUUUCACUGAAAUUGCCAUAUUAUUGAAUAUUCAUAAAAUGUUUCUCAUUUCCCACCCCACCCUUCAUGCAUUUAGGAAUAGUGAAGGAUAAUUUCAGAUACGAGCAAAAAUAAAACAAAGUUUAAAAACUUAUCUUAAUUAAAAAUUACUGUUACUGUGCAGAUAAAAUCUAACAUUUUCAAAGCCCUAGAACUCCAGCUAGGCAAUUUAAAAGAAAUGGCAGUAGCUGGGAAUACAGUUAAGCAGAACUGUUCCCUUUAGAGUCAGUUGCA